UCUGUUUUGACAUGAAUCUUAUUCUCCAGGCGGCGGUUUCUAUGGCUCAAAAAAGUCUGCAGUGUCUGGGGCGAUAAGAACCUUGAAAUCUGCAGCAAAGUAAGACGGCACACUGUUAAAUGUUCAAAACCCUUAUGUUCUCCAGUAAUUUAUCAUUUCAUUACAGAAUUACUCCAGCUAAAAGCAAAACUAGUGCGUCAGAAAAGACUUCAGGAGAGGCCUCUACCUCCAAAGCAACUACCAGCCAAGCAGCAGCUGCUGAAACUGCUCCGGAAAAAUUAGCGAUUCCAGAGCCGAAGGUAGAAGAGCCAGUGACACCAGUGCCGACAAAAGAGGAGCCAGUUCCUAGUCCGAGUCAAUGGGUAGAGACAGUGGGAGAGACUCUGGAAAAAAUACUCUGCGCGAAGUCCAUCAGGGAUAAGGUUGAGUUCUAUACUAACAUCAGCCGCAAAGAGGACAGGAAGUGGCUGGUGCUUCUCACCGGCCUCCCGGACCACCUGAAACAGCCCUACACCGAGGAGCUGCUGGUAGAGAGGCUCAAACAGUUUGGGUAUCAGCACGAAUCAAACAAUCUCUACGUGGUCCCCCAGUGCAGACUGGCUUUUGUUACCAUGCCCAACAAUGAAGCGACUCGAGAAUUGGUGAUGAACUAUCAUAAAAAAAUGAACUCAAACACCCAUUUCACAGGUCAGGCCUUUCUCCUCGAGCGGGGAAUCUCCGUCCACGAGACACCGUUUUGUUUUUACAUCUCUCUGAUGCGGCUUUGCAACUACGAAUGUGAAGAUGACGGAGAGAGAACAGUCUUCAUCACAAACAUUUCUUCCUUUGAUGUGAUUGAACUCCGAAAGAGACUGAAGAAGAUCGGAUCAGUCCAAAACUUUGUGCCGCUGCUCAACAAGGUUUUUGUGGAGUUCAAGACGAGCAGAGACGCAGACAGACUGGGAGUUCACCACAGUCUUUUAAAUAUAACUCCUUUGUAUGAGAUAACCAGGAUGAAAGUCCCUCCGGCUAAAGGCUCCACCUGGCCUCCUUUACUGGCAGCUAAUGCUGUGCCUGAUGCUUCAGAGAGGGUUCCCGGAGUUGUCGUUCCAGAAUCUAACUCUGGGAUCCCCAUCGGCAGCGGGAGUCCGUUCUGUGUCACGCUGAACUCCAAACCGUUCAUGUUCCCCACACAGUCCCCCUGGUUCAUCAUCCCAGAUUUUGAUUUGGUUACAAUAUGUAAACAGAGUUUUGACGAGCCUCAGGACAGGACGUUGAUGCUGACUGGUUUGCCUGUGGACGGCUACACGCUGCUGCAGGUCUUCGACUUGACUUUGCCCUACGGCCACAAUCACUGCAUGCAAUACCAGAUCAUCGUGCUUCCUCUGCAGAGACGGGCGUUUAUCAACUUUCUUACUGCAGAGGCGUGUGAAGGUUUUGUCCAGAAAUGUCUCAGAAUUGGCCCCGUACUGAAAGGGGUUGCUCUGAGAGUUCACUACGUCAGCUGCAAACUGUUUCCUGUGUCGACCGAGGAGGAAGUGUACAGCACUUUUAUGAAGCUGAGCAACAAUCGUGGCCCAGAGAAGCACCAACUGGAGAAGCGGUUACUGUGCGUGUUCGUGUCAGAAGUUUCUCUCGAGUUGAUUAGACUCGUGAUGGAAGUCGUCACAUCUGCAGCUCCCGUCCUCGGCUUCCUGCCUCUGGCCAACAGGGUUUGUAUCGAGCUGCCCAAAGUCCGUGAUGUGGCCAAAGUGAGGCGGAAAUUCUGCCGCUACAACCCAAAAGACUGGCAGCAGAAGAUUCUCUGGAAAAAUGUCCUGACUUUGGAGACUGCGGCUGAGGUGAAACAGCGCGUAAAGAGGGCUCAAAAUGACAUUGUUUGCCUUGACUCGCCUUUCGACAAAGCAUCGUCCACGAGCAAAGACGAAAUGUCUCAUUACCACAUCUACUUGGGCAGAGAGGAGCAGGAUUGGCAGCAGAAUUGGGACAGAGCCAGUUCAUCCUCUGCUCGAUUUCGCAUGUCGUCUUCAAGAGAAUCAACGGCAUCUUCUUCUAAGAAAGCAGAAUCAAAGGAGAGCUCAACUUGUGUGGAGCCAAUUGCGGAAAACAUUCAAGACGUUAAAGAUGAGGCUAAAAAACAUGAACAACUUGGCACUGAAGGAUCCAACUUUGAUCGGUCGGAAGAGCAAAAGAGUUCGAGUGAGACCACAGAAGAUUCGAGUGACGCCAUAGAAGAACAAAUUUCCGAACACUACCAAGUUUUAGAUUCAGUUGACAAAGCAAUAAAAUCGGGAGAAGAUGGAUUUCGCUUAGUAGAGUCUGUCCAAGUGUUAGACGGUGUCGCUGAAGGACAAGCCAAUGAAGAACCAACUGAUGAAAAGUUAUCUGAAGUGGCUCCCAACAAGGAAAUGGACACUUCCCAAUCUGACAGUGCGACAGAUAAUGUGAAGAAUUUGAAACCUGAAACGGGAAGCAAGAGGAAAAGAGGGGAAGGUGCUGCUGAAACACAAGAGGUUUGUUCCAAAAUUGCCCACACAGAUGGUCAAGAAGGCAGUGAACAUGAAACCUUUGAUAUCGUAGCUUCCGCUGAAGAUCAAACUAUUACAGAAAAAGCGCAUAAAGGUGAAGAUGUUCCCAGUGAUGAGAUGUUGUUGGAAAAAGAUGCAUUUAGAGUUAUUGAUGAUGAGGUGGAAUCCAAGAAGAGCGAAACUACUAGCACAAAGUCAACGAGGAGUGGCAGGUCAACUCGAGGCGAUGAGAAGGUAAAAACGGAAGCAAAGACCAAACGGGAGUCGAGCGUUUCAAGAAUAGAGGAGGAAAUGGUUGAAUUGAAAGCUGAAGAUCAGUUGAGAGAGGAACCUAUUAAGACGAAAGCUUGA
ensembl:lncRNA